ensembl:lncRNA
CUCACUGCAGUAGUGGGAAGUAGAAUAUCAGGAUUUCUGACAGUUUCCUGAGUCCCAGUUCCUACCAAGUAAUGCCAGGAGGACCAGGUAAUACCUGUGUAUGCAGUGAGUUUCCUGAUAGGAGAGGAACUUUAUGGGGAAACUCCAGUUUGUAAUAAAGGACUCGCAAACCUAUCCAACUGAGUAGUGGAAAGAAACUCAUCUUUUUUAUUCUAGACAGCAAACAAAUCUCCCCUUGGGCCCAGAGGAAGACAUUAUCUCUGUCUUCUAAGGAUGUUUGCUACACAGACAUCCCUGAAAAAAUCAGGAAAAAGCUGUUAAUGCCCUUGCCUAGAAGACAUGCAGAAAUACAAGAGAUCAAUGGAGAGCUGUCUUCCCACAAAUGACUGCUUCAGAGCCUUUGUCAGAGCCUGGGAGCCUCAACUACUGAAGCCUGCAGACCCCAGAGCCUGUGCUCCACAAGAGAAGCCACCGCAGUGAGAAGCCCUCACACCACAACUGGAGAGCAGCCACUGCUCACCUCAACUAGAGAAAAGCCCACACGCAACCGAGUCCCAGCACAGCCAACAAAUACAUUAAAGCACUACUUUAAAACUCGAUGUGAUGAACUUGACCUGUUAAAAAAGGCAAUGAGUAAUGAUGGAAUUAUUUCUAAUUUUUUUAAAAAGGAAAUUAUAGCCAGUUGGGAUUGUUCUUUCAAACAGCUUGUAGCCUAUACUAAUGGUCUCUUGGGAUUGUCCCCUUAGGCAGUUUAUACUGGUGAAGCAGGUAGAUCCCGUGAUUUGGGAGGGGAAGGGAAAGGUAGUCUGAACAGCAGCACGCUGAACUCUGUGAACCUCUAAAAUCCACUUG